rnacentral:rRNA from 1 species
AACGCGAAGAACCUUACCAAGGCUUGACAUCUGAGGAAAUUUCCAGAAAUGGAAAUGUGCCCGCAAGGGAACCUCAAGACAGGUGGUGCAUGGCUGUCGUCAGCUCGUGUCGUGAGAUGUUGGGUUAAGUCCCGCAACGAGCGCAACCCUUGUCCUGUGUUGCCAUCAUUCAGUUGGGAACUCGCAGGAGACCGCCAGGGAUAACCUGGAGGAAGGUGGGGAUGACGUCAAGUCCUCAUGGCCUUUAUGUCCAGGGCUACACACGUGCUACAAUGGCCGGUACAAACCGCAGCAAACCCGCGAGGGGGAGCCAAUCGGAAAAAACCGGUCUCAGUUCGGAUUGCAGGCUGCAACUCGCCUGCAUGAAGCUGGAAUCGCUAGUAAUGGCAGAUCAGCACGCUGCCGUGAAUACGUUCCCGGGCCUUGUACACACCGAUAGC